rfam:Oryza glaberrima chromosome 12 Oglab12_0312_1, whole genome shotgun sequence.
UUUAAGUGUAGUUAUAGGUUUCCAUGUCCAACAUUUGACCGUCCGUCUUAUUUGAAUUUUUUUAUCAUUACUUUUAUUAUUAUUAGAUAAUAAAACAUUAAUAGUAUUUUACGCGUAAGUUAUUUUUUUUAAUUUUUUUCAUAAUUUUUUCAAAUAAGACGGGCGGACAAACAUUGGACACGGAAAUCCAUAACUGCACUUAAA